rnacentral:rRNA from 1 species
CCUACGGGUGGCAGCAGUGGGGAAUAUUGGACAAUGGGGGGAACCCUGAUCCAGCGACGCCGCGUGAGGGAAGAAGUAUUUCGGUAUGUAAAGCUCUAUCAGCAGGGAAGAUAAUGACGGUACCUGACUCAGAAGCUCCGGCUAAAUACGUGCCAGCAGCCGCGGUAAGACGUAUGGAUCAAGCGUUAUCCGGAUUUACUGGGUGUUAAGGGAGCGCAGACGGUGGGGCAAGUCUGAUGUGAAAUCCCGGGGCUCAACCCCGGGACUGCAUUGGAAACUGUCCGUCUAGAGGGCAGGAGAGGUAAGAGGAAUUCCUAGUGUAGCGGUGAAAUGCGUAGAUAUUAGGAGGAACACCAGUGGCGAAGGCGGCUUACUGGACUGUAACUGACGUUGAGGAGCGAAAGCGUGGGGAGCAAACAGGAUUAGAUACCCGAGUAGUC